rnacentral:rRNA from 1 species
GAUGAACGCUGGCGGCGUGCCUAAUACAUGCAAGUCGAGCGAACAGACGAGGAGCUUGCUCCUCUGACGUUAGCGGCGGACGGGUGAGUAACACGUGGAUAACCUACCUAUAAGACUGGGAUAACUUCGGGAAACCGGAGCUAAUACCGGAUUAUAUAUUGAACCGCAUGGUUCAAUAGUGAAAGACGGUUUUGCUGUCACUUAUAGAUGGAUCCGCGCCGCAUUAGCUAGUUGGUAAGGUAACGGCUUACCAAGGCGACGAUGCGUAGCCGACCUGAGAGGGUGAUCGGCCACACUGGAACUGAGACACGGUCCAGACUCCUACGGGAGGCAGCAGUAGGGAAUCUUCCGCAAUGGGCGAAAGCCUGACGGAGCAACGCCGCGUGAGUGAUGAAGGUCUUCGGAUCGUAAAACUCUGUUAUUAGGGAAGAACAAAUGUGUAAGUAACUAUGCACGUCUUGACGGUACCUAAUCAGAAAGCCACGGCUAACUACGUG